rnacentral:snRNA from 1 species
GUGCUUGCUUCAGCUGCACCUUUGUUAAAAUUGGAAUGCUGCAGAGAAGAUUAGCAUGGCCCCUGUGCAAGGAUGACAGGCAGAUUCAUGAAGCGUUCCGUAUUUAA